CCCUUAGAUGUUCUGGGCUGCACGCGCGCUACACUGAACAGUUCAACAAGUCUUAACCUUGGCCGAUAGGUCUGGGUAAUCUUUGAACGCUGUUCGUGAUUGGGAUAGACCUUUGCAAUUAUGGGUCUUCAACGAGGAAUUCCUAGUAAACGCAAGUCAUCAGCUUGCAUUGAUUACGUCCCUGCCCUUUGUACACACCGCCCGUCGCACCUACCGAUUGAAUGGUCCGGUGAAAUCUCGGGACGGCGGCUUGGUCGCUUGCGUCCGACUGCUGAAACUUGAUUAAACCAUNUNAUUUAGNGGAAGGUGAANUCGUANCA
rnacentral:rRNA from 1 species